rnacentral:lncRNA from 1 species
CAUUGACUAUGUCUAUGAAGCCUCUACUGAUCAACUGGCGCACUGCUCAGGACAUGAGAUUUCCUGGCCAGUUCUCUAAGUAAACAAAGAAAUAACUAAAUAAAGAUGACUCAAAGGAAUACUACACGAACAAAAGCGGAGCUCACCAAUAGCAUUGGAAGAGAAGGAAGUCCUAACACGUAGCCUGCUCGCCUGCAAAACCGGUUCCUACGUUGUACCGCAGACCAACGUAGGUUCCCAAAAGAGAACGUCAGUACCAUCCAUUGUACUCAGUGAGUCUCAACAACAGGGGCGAAACUUUAAUAACAUAUACAUUACGAGCAAAGGUUCUAAAUGCAUAAAAAAUAUAAAGCUUACAAGAAUAAUUCUAAAAUAAUUGCUUAAUAGCAGUUUAUGAAUAUUUUAAAAGAAAUUCUUUUCUUUUUCUUUCUUAUAAAAAAAUACUUCACUUUAUACUUUGGGAGUUCCAACUAUCCUGACUUAAUUCUGUCUCAGUCAUCGUGUGAUCGGCACGGGUUCGAUCCCAACCUGAUCGAAUAGGCCCAAUCUACGAGGUGACACUCGCUUCAUGGUUCUCAGCGCUCAUGUCUCAUACCUUAGCAUGACUAAGUAAAUUCUUAGUAACGAGACCCUCGGCUCGUGUACUCCCUACUUUGGCACAAGUAGUUUCAGGAAGUCAAUGCUUUGGUCAGGACCCUAGGCCUGGACGAUGACCCCUUCUCGGAAUAAAGGAUACUCCCAAAAAAAUUUCUUUCUAAAACUUCUUCUUGUGACUUUUCAAGUCUAAAUCUUUUAUACAUACUCAUACUGGUAUUCUUAAAUGUAAGGCAUGGCAUAAGAAUGAAAUAAACAUUCAAAGUAUUUAUAAAGAUUCUUGAUCCUUCAUUAAUUUUCAACAUGAAAAUGGCAUAUAAGAAUAACAUAAAAAUCUGAAAUUUAUGCACAUAUAUCAAAAUAAUCAUCUAAACUUUAGCUAGAAAAUAAUUCUAAGCUAAUAGGUACUUACUACUCCAAUUAAGUAUAUAUUUACUCUUUUAUGCAAUUCAUCAAACACCUUAUGUGCAUGCUUUUGUGAGUUAAACCACUUUAGUAAAGGGUUAUAUCAACUCACCUCAAAACUUCUCGAGCAAAUACGUAGACCCCAGUCCAAUUGACACCAGUCAAAUAAUCGAUUCUACAAAAACCAGUGCAUUUUAAUUAAUUUUAAAGUUUCGCACCUAAACACGGAACUUUACUGUUGAUAUAGAGAAAGAAAGGAAUUAACUAUUUAAUUCUUACCUAUUACUACUUAGGGUAAUUGACAAUAAGGAAUUUUAUAUACCUGAAUUCAAAAAUAAGUGAUUUGUAAAGAACCUUAGAUUUUUUUUGUUGACUGCGUGAGUCUCUGCCUCUGUUUCGUAGCGUUCUGCUUCAGUUUAUCGUAUAAGACUUCUUAUCCCUUUUGCCUUUGUUGAAUGAACGUUUAAGCCUUUUAUUCUGUUAAGGCUUUUU